rfam:Lupinus angustifolius cultivar Tanjil chromosome LG15, whole genome shotgun sequence.
GUGGUUCUGGUAUGAACAAGUUCCUUAUAUUCAAUUUAUCCAUCUGAUCACUUUGUCAGCUAUGUUUUUGAAUAUAUAGGUGAUCAUUAUAGUGUGGAAUAAUU